AUUGAACGCUGGCGGAAUGCUUUACACAUGCAAGUCGAGCGGCAGCGCGGGGCAACCUGGCGGCGAGCGGCGAACGGGUGAGUAAUGCAUCGGAACAUGUCCAUGUCGUGGGGGAUAGCCCGGCGAAAGCCGGAUUAAUACCGCAUACGCUCGAGAGAGGAAAGCCGGGGACCGCAAGGCCUGGCGCGAUUGGGUUGGCCGAUGUCCGAUUAGCUAGUUGGUGAGGUAAAGGCUUACCAAGGCGAUGAUCGGUAGCUGGUCUGAGAGGAUGAUCAGCUACACUGGGACUGAGACACGGCCCAGACUCCUACGGGAGGCAGCAGUGGGGAAUUUUGGACAAUGGGGGCAACCCUGAUCCAGCCAUUCCGCGUGAGUGAAGAAGGCCUUCGGUUGUAAGACGUCUUUGUUCCUUGAGCGAACGGAAGUAGGUGGAAUAUCACUUCUACUG
rnacentral:rRNA from 1 species